CCGAUGGUACUGCACACGGGAGUGUGUGGGAGAGUAGGACGCCGCCGGAC
rnacentral:rRNA from 1 species